rnacentral:rRNA from 1 species
UACGAGUACCCCGAGCGUUAUCCGGAAUUAUUGGGCGUAAAGGGUAUGUAGGUUGUUAUAUUAGUCUUUUGUCAAAGCCCCCGGCUCAACCGGGGAAUUGCGGGGGAAACGGUAUAACUAGAGGGCGCGAGAGGUUUGCGGAACUCAUGGUGUAGGGGUGAAAUCCGUUGAUAUCAUGGGGAACACCAAAAGCGAAGGCAGCAAACUGGCGCGUUUCUGACGCUGAGAAGCGAAAGCAUGGGGAGCGAACAGG